rnacentral:rRNA from 1 species
GCGGUCUGUCGCGUCUGCUGUGAAAAUCCGGGGCUCAACCCCGGACUUGCAGUGGGUACGGGCAGACUAGAGUGUGGUAGGGGAGACUGGAAUUCCUGGUGUAGCGGUGAAAUGCGCAGAUAUCAGGAGGAACACCGAUGGCGAAGGCAGGUCUCUGGGCCACUACUGACGCUGAGAAGCGAAAGCAUGGGGAGCGAACAGGAUUAGAUACCCUGGUAGUCCAUGCCGUAAACGUUGGGAACUAGGUGUGGGUCUCAUUCCACGAGAUCCGUGCCGCAGCUAACGCAUUAAGUUCCCCGCCUGGGGAGUACGGCCGCAAGGCUAAAACUCAAAGGAAUUGACGGGGGCCCGCACAAGCGGCGGAGCAUGCGGAUUAAUUCGAUGCAACGCGAAGAACCUUACCAAGGCUUGACAUACACCGGAAACACCCAGAGAUGGGUGCCCCGCAAGGUCGGUGUACAGGUGGUGCAUGGUUGUCGUCAGCUCGUGUCGUGAGAUGUUGGGUUAAGUCCCGCAACGAGCGCAACCCUCGUUCUAUGUUGCCAGCGCGUCAUGGCGGGGACUCAUAGGAGACUGCCGGGGUCAACUCGGAGGAAGGUGGGGAUGACGUCAAAUCAUCAUGCCCCUUAUGUCUUGGGCUUCACGCAUGCUACAAUGGCCGGUACAAAGGGCUGCGAUACCGCAAGGUGGAGCGAAUCCCAAAAAACCGGUCUCAGUUCGGAUUGGGGUCUGCAACUCGACCCCAUGAAGUCGGAGUCGC